rnacentral:rRNA from 1 species
UGGGGAAUAUUGGGCAAUGGGCGAAAGCCUGACCCAGCAACGCCGCGUGAGGGAAGAAGGUUUUCGGAUUGUAAACCUCUGUCCUAAGGGACGAAGGAAGUGACGGUACCUUAGGAGGAAGCCCCGGCUAACUACGUGCCAGCAGCCGCGGUAAUACGUAGGGGGCGAGCGUUGUCCGGAAUGACUGGGCGUAAAGGGCGUGUAGGCGGCUUUUUAAGUCUGGAGUGAAAGUCCUGCUUUCAAGGUGGGAAUUGCUUUGGAGACUGGAGAGCUUGAGUGCGGAAGAGGUAAGUGGAAUUCCCAGUGUAGCGGUGAAAUGCGUAGAGAUUGGGAGGAACACCAGUGGCGAAGGCGACUUACUGGGCCGUAACUGACGCUGAGGCGCGAAAGCGUGGGGAGCGAACAGGAUUAGAUACC